AUGGAGAGUUUGAUCCUGGCUCAGGACGAACGCUGGCGGCGUGCUUGAUACAUGCAAGUCAAGGAGAAAAUUUCCUUCGGGAAAUAAGUAAACUGGCGAACGGGUGAGUAACACGUAGGUAACCUGCCUUAGAGAUUGGGAUAACCCCGGGAAACCGGAGCUAAUACCGAAUAAUGCAACGAAUCCUUCGGGGUAUGUUGUUAAAGCGGGCUUCGGCUCGCACUUUAAGAUGGGCCUGCGUCCGAUUAGCUUGUUGGUGGGGUAAUGGCCUACCAAGGCGACGAUCGGUAGCUGGUCUGAGAGGAUGAUCAGCCACACUGGGAUUGAGAUACGGCCCAGACUCCUACGGGAGGCAGCAGUAAGGAAUUUUGCGCAAUGGACGAAAGUCUGACGCAGCAACGCCGCGUGAUCGAUGACGCUUCUAGGAGUGUAAAGAUCUGUCGUGAGGGAAGAAAAACUUGGAUGUAAAUAAUGUUCGAAUUUGACGGUACCUCACAAGAAAGCACCGGCUAACUUCGUGCCAGCAGCCGCGGUAAUACGAGGGGUGCUAGCGUUGUCCGGAAUUACUGGGCG
rnacentral:rRNA from 1 species